GAGGAAACGGACUCGGCAGGAUGUCGCAUCCUGGGCCUACGUAGUUUGUCAGAGACAAACAUCAGAGUUAACGUAGUUCGGGGACAUGGGAAACGUGCUCGCUAGGACAUCGCAUCCUAUGCAUACGUAUCUUCUCUAGCAGGAGUAAGAAUCAGAGCACUCGUAGCUCGGCUAACGCACGCCGAAACAAAACGCUUAAACCAGGGACACUGAGAUGUCAAAUGAAACACACAACUGGAAACGGAAUGCCAAUCGCUGGUCUUACAUCCAACUCCGAACAAACACACGCAAAUAGGAUACGGAAGGCCAAUCGCUGGUCUUACAUCCAUCUCCUAACGCACACAAACAAACGGGAAACUGAAUGCCAAUAGAUGGACUUACAUCAGACUCCGAACAAGGAAAGGGUGUACAAACUCACACACCACACAAAAGGGUUGAAAAAGAAAAAAG
rnacentral:lncRNA from 1 species